rnacentral:rRNA from 1 species
GGCGCAGCUACACAUGCAGUCGAGCGCGCCCUUCGGGGUGAGCGGCGGACGGGUUAGUAACGCGUGGGAAUAUGCCCAAAGGUACGGAAUAGCCUCUGGAAACGGAGAGUAAUACCGUAUGUGCCCUUCGGGGGAAAGAUUUAUCGCCUUUGGAUUAGCCCGCGUUAGAUUAGGUAGUUGGUGGGGUAAUGGCCUACCAAGCCUACGAUCUAUAGCUGGUUUUAGAGGAUGAUCAGCAACACUGGGACUGAGACACGGCCCAGACUCCUACGGGAGGCAGCAGUGGGGAAUCUUGGACAAUGGGGGCAACCCUGAUCCAGCCAUGCCGCGUGAGUGAUGAAGGCCUUAGGGUCGUAAAGCUCUUUCGCCUGUGAAGAUAAUGACGGUAGCAGGUAAAGAAACCCCGGCUAACUCCGUGCCAGCAGCCGCGGUAAUACGGAGGGGGUUAGCGUUGUUCGGAAUUACUGGGCGUAAAGCGCACGUAGGCGGAUCGGAAAGUUGGGGGUGAAAUCCCGGGGCUCAACCCCGGAACUGCCUCCAAAACUAUCGGUCUAGAGUUCGAGAGAGGUGAGUGGAAUUCCGAGUGUAGAGGUGAAAUUCGUAGAUAUUCGGAGGAACACCAGUGGCGAAGGCGGCUCACUGGCUCGAUACUGACGCUGAGGUGCGAAAGUGUGGGGAGCAAACAGGAUUAGAUACCCUGGUAGUCCACACCGUACACGAUGAAUGCCAGUCGUCGGGUAGCAUGCUAUUCGGUGACACACCU